rnacentral:rRNA from 1 species
CCUACGGGAGGCAGCAGUGAGGAAUAUUGGUCAAUGGACGAGAGUCUGAACCAGCCAAGUAGCGUGAAGGAUGACUGCCCUAUGGGUUGUAAACUUCUUUUAUAUGGGAAUAAAACGUUCCACGUGUGGGAUUUUGUAUGUACCAUAUGAAUAAGGAUCGGCUAACUCCGUGCCAGCAGCCGCGGUAAUACGGAGGAUCCGAGCGUUAUCCGGAUUUAUUGGGUUUAAAGGGAGCGUAGGUGGAUUGUUAAGUCAGUUGUGAAAGUUUGCGGCUUAACCGUAAAAUUGCAGUUGAAACUGGCAGUCUUGAGUACAGUAGAGGUGGGCGGAAUUCGUGGUGUAGCGGUGAAAUGCUUAGAUAUCACGAAGAACUCCGAUUGCGAAGGCAGUUCACUGGACUGCAACUGACACUGAGGCUCGAAAGUGUGGGUAUCAAACAGGAUGAGAUACCCGAGUAGUC